GUGAGUAACGCGUGGGCAACCUGCCCCUUGCAGGGGGACAGCCGGGGGAAACCCCGGGUAAUACCCCAUAACGCGGAGGCGCCACAUGGCGCUUCGGCCCAAAGAUUCAUCGGCAAGGGAUGGGCCCGCGUCCGAUUAGCUUGUUGGCAGGGCAGCGGCCUACCAAGGCGACGAUCGGUAGCCGGCCUGAGAGGGCGGACGGCCACAUUGGAACUGAGACACGGUCCAGACUCCUGCGGGAGGCAGCAGUGGGGAAUAUUGCACAAUGGGCGCAAGCCUGAUGCAGCAACGCCGCGUGAGGGAGGAAGGCCUUCGGGUCGUAAACCUCUGUCCCUGGGGAAGAAACAAAUGACGGUACCCAUGGAGGAAGCCCCGGCUAACUACGUGCCAGCAGCCGCGGUAAUACGUAGGGGGCGAGCGUUAUCCGGAAUUACUGGGCGUAAAGAGUGCGUAGGCGGCUCUUUAAGCGCGGGGUCUAAGACCGCGGCUCAACCGCGGGCCGCCCCGCGAACUGGAGGGCUUGAGUGCGGGAGAGGAAGGCGGAAUUCCUAGUGUAGCGGUGAAAUGCGUAGAUAUUAGGAGGAACACCGGUGGCGAAGGCGGCCUUCUGGACCGAGACUGACGCUGAGGCACGAAAGCGUGGGUAGCAAACAGGAUUAGAUACCCUGGUAGUCCACGCCGUAAACGAUGAGCACCAGGUGUCGGGCCCUAAGGGUCCGGUGCCGAAGCCAACGCAAUAAGUGCUCCGCCUGGGGAGUACGCACGCAAGUGUAAAACUCAAAGGAAUUGACGGGGACCCGCACAAGCAGCGGAGCAUGUGGUUUAAUUCGAAGCAACGCGAAGAACCUUACCAGGGCUUGACAUCCCGUCGAACGGCCGGGCAACGCCGCUCUCUC
rnacentral:rRNA from 1 species